UCUCUCUCCUACCUAUGACUCACUCCCGAUUCUCCCUCCCUCUCUCUCUUCCCCAUCCGGGCCAACCAACCCUAGCGCGGCGGCGAUGGCGUCGGACCCGCCCCCGGACGACGCGGCCACGGCCCCGGCGGCGAACGGCCACGGCCACGGCAACGGCAACGCCCCGCCCCCGGCGAAGCGCCCCCGGGCGGUGAUCUCGGCGGCCGAGAUCCGCGCCGAGUUCGCGCACCACGACGCCGCCGUCGCGCGCGUCAACAACGGCAGCUUCGGCUGCUGCCCGGCCUCGGUCCUCGCCGCGCAGGCCCGCUGGCAGGGCAUCUUCCUCGCGCAGCCCGACGCCUUCUACUUCCACGGCCUCCAGCAGGGGCUGCUCCGCUCGCGCGCCGCCGUCGCCGGCCUCGUCGGCGCCGGCGACGUCUCCGAGGUCUCCCUCGUCGACAACGCCACCACCGCCGCCGCCAUCGUCCUGCAGCACGCCGCCUGGAGCUUCGCCGAGGGCCACUUCGCCCGCGGGGACGCCGUCCUCAUGCUCCACUACGCCUACGGCGCCGUCAAGAAGUCCAUCCACGCCUACGUCGCGCGCGCGGGGGCCACCGUCGUCGAGGUGCCCCUCCCGUUCCCCGUCGCGUCCGCCGACGCGAUUAUUGCCGAGUUCCGGGCCGCGCUCGCCGUCGCCAAGGAAGGGGGGCGGAGGGUCCGCCUCGCGGUCAUCGACCACAUCACCUCCAUGCCCAGUGUUGUCAUCCCGGUGAAGGAGCUCGUUGCCAUCUGCCGCGAGGAGGGCGUCGACAAGGUGUUUGUUGACGCAGCUCACUCUAUUGGCCAGGUCCCUGUGGACGUGCGUGACAUUGGGGCCGAUUUCUACACAAGCAACCUUCAUAAAUGGUUCUUCUGCCCCCCUGCCGUUGCCUUUCUGCACACCCGCAAGGAUGAUCCGAUAGCCUCCCAGCUUCACCACCCUGUUGUCUCGCAUGAGUAUGGGAAUGGGUUGCCUAUGGAGAGUGGAUGGAUUGGGACACGGGAUUACAGUGCCCAGCUUGUUGUGUCUGAAGCUAUCGAUUUCGUAAAUCGAUUUGAGGGAGGGAUUGAGGGGAUACGCAGUCGGAACCACGAGAAAGUGAUUGAGAUGGGUAGGAUGCUUGCUGAGGCGUGGGGGACAUUUCUUGGCUCGCCACCAGAAUUGUGCGGGAGCAUGGUUAUGGUGGGGCUGCCAGGUUGCCUUGGCGUUGAGAGUGAUGAUGAUGCAAUGAGAGUGAGGACUAUGUUGAGGAAGGAUUUCCAGGUGGAGGUGCCAAUAUACUAUAAUUCAAGAAGGGUGGAAGGGCAAGAGAUGGCAAAGGACAAGAGUGGUGAUCCAGUGACAGGGUAUGUGAGGAUCUCACACCAGGUUUACAAUGUCAGGGAGGACUACGAGAGACUAAGAGAUGCUAUCAAUAAACUUGUUUCUGAAGGGUUCACCAGCUGCAAGUUGCGGCCUUCAGAGAAGGGUAGAGAGCCGGCACUGGGGAAGCAGCAGCAGGCCUAGCCCAGUGUCGCGGCAGCCACAUCUCACGGAGUCAGCAUCGGUCGAGGGGCUCAACUUGCGGCAGCAUAGACAUGCAUGGUCUUUUGAGAGGCACCCUUCAGGCUAUAUCCUGCGCUGGGCCAAAAAUUAAAUGGGCUGUUGGUGCAAAUCCACCCAAAGAUUCCUCCUACUUCGUCCUCCAGCCAUCAAGGAUUCCUCGACGCAACAAGAAUAGGAGUGAUGACCUUCUAGCCAGGCAGCAGUCCACCCGAAGAUGCUGUGGCUGACUACUUAAGUGUGGGUCGGGUCAAUGCAGCCAGCGCCUCAUCGUGAUGUCUCUCCCAUGGCAUAGACAAGCCAGUUGAUGAAUGUAGUGUACCUUCAGGAACUGACAUGUGUUGUAUUUGGCGUUCAGUGUAUGUAACAAUAAUGCCUGGCAUGUCUUCUUCCCUCUUAUUUUCCUUUUCUGCUGUAAGCUGAGAAUAAUCUGAAUGUAAGGUGAUUUACAGCUGCUGUAGGCUGAUUUCUGGUUACCGAUCAUAUUGAUCGUCAAAUACAUCAAAAUGGCAGUGGAUUACUUGGUU